rnacentral:rRNA from 1 species
UACGAAGGGGGCUAGCGUUGCUCGGAAUCACUGGGCGUAAAGGGUGCGUAGGCGGGUCUUUAAGUCAGGGGGGAAAUCCUGGAGCUCAACUCCAGAACUGCCUUUGAUACUGAAGAUCUUGAGUUCGGGAGAGGUGAGUGGAACUGCGAGUGUAGAGGUGAAAUUCGUAGAUAUUCGCAAGAACACCAGUGGCGAAGGCGGCCUUCUGGACCAAUACUGACGCUCAUGCACGAAAGCGUGGGGAGCAAACAGG